rnacentral:lncRNA from 1 species
UAAGUGCCUACUGGAUUGUUCUUCAACCGCGUAGGCUGUCGACCGAAGAUGAGCCUUCCACUUGGCGGAAGAAUCUCACAGGAAAGGGAUCCAUUUCGGCACAUUGAACAUGACCAGGCAUGGCUAGGAGGGACAAGAAAUACCAGCGUAUCUAUGAGAUCAGCAAAUAUACCAGGCAGACUUAGCAGGCUGGAAAACAUGAUCAUAGCUCACUGCCAC